AUAAACGCCUAACAAUUGAAAAUUGGUUCACCCAGGGCGAGGCUCAGCCAUUGCACUUCGGCUUUGUGCUGACCCGUGCGAAUUCCUCAAAUGUGGGAAUCUCGACUGCAUAAUUUGUGGUAGUGGGGGACUGCGUUCGCGCUCUCCCCUG
ensembl:snRNA U1 U1 spliceosomal RNA